rnacentral:rRNA from 1 species
GUGGGGAAUCUUAGACAAUGGGCGCAAGCCUGAUCUAGCCAUGCCGCGUGAGUGAUGAAGGCCCUAGGGUUGUAAAGCUCUUUCAGCUGGGAAGAUAAUGACGGUAACCGGAGAAGAAGCCCCGGCUAACUUCGUGCCAGCAGCCGCGGUAAUACGAAGGGGGCUAGCGUUGUUCGGAAUUACUGGGCGUAAAGCGCACGUAGGCGGACAUUUAAGUCAGGGGUGAAAUCCCGGGGCUCAACCCCGGAACUGCCUUUGAUACUGGGUGUCUGGAGUAUGGAAGAGGUAAGUGGAAUUCCGAGUGUAGAGGUGAAAUUCGUAGAUAUUCGGAGGAACACCAGUGGCGAAGGCGGCUUACUGGUCCAUUACUGACGCUGAGGUGCGAAAGCGUGGGGAGCAAACAGGAUUAGAUACCCGUGUAGUCC